ensembl:lncRNA
UUACACUUAUUGUAAAUAAUUGUUUACAACUAAUCUUGUAUUCAUACACGUAAACAGAAUCCCCAAACAUCUGCUACCGGAUGGAUCUGUUCAUCCAGCAGUUGUUCAGCACAAUAUUUGUGUAUUUAAUGAAAUCACUCCAUUUCAGUUCUUUAUUAUAUAUCAACACAGGUAAAAACACGUCCACUUUAAGUUGAUUUACCCUCCGACCAUCAAUUUACUGCUUAAUGACAUAUUCUCAUGCUCACAGUGUAGCUGUUAGCUCACCUAGCAUUGGGCAUUUAACCACUAGUUCAACCCUUUGUGCACAAAGAGAAGACGUGUAACUUUACAACUUUAGCUCUGGACACAGCCAGGCUAGCCGCUUCCACCUGGCUUUAUGCUAAGCUAAGGCUAAUCUCUAUUGUUCCUGGAUGUCCAAACAACAGACACAAUGUCCGUAGAAUUAUCUGUGGGACUGAAUUUGAUUGAAUAGAUCCCCGAUGUUUAGAUGUUUGGGUUUAAUACGGAUUGAGGGGAAACGUCCAGGAUCAGUUUACGUUUGACUGACUGAAAGAGGUUCUUUAGGAGAAAUGAUGAGCAAUACAUGUGAAAUAUACAAAUCUAUCCAUCUAUAUAUUAAUAUGUGUUCAGUCACUGUUCUUGGUGACUGAAUCUUCUGGGGGUUUCUUCAGAGGUCGCGAUGUCGUUUUAUUUCCCUCUUGACGUUUCUUCGGCCACAUCCAUCAGAUCAUCGAACAAAUCUGAAACAUAAACACGAAGAUGAUUAUCGGUGGAAUUAGUUUACACUUCGUCCACAUGUUUUUUUCCAUUGUUUCUUCUUCUUUAGUUAUAUCUAUUAGAAUAUAUACAGUAAUGAUGUAUUAUAAUAUAUAAUACAGAUAUAUGUUGUAUAUAAAGCCCUGUGAGGGACACUAGAGCAGCGGAGGGUUUUAUUGAGACGUCUCUUGAAGUCUUUUGAAAAUGGGUUUGACUUCAUGAAGUAGCUGUCACACGUAUGGACGUGUCCCAUCGUUUCUCUGAUUCGGCGGCUGAGAACAUCACGUACCUCCGUCAUUUAAUUGUACAGUUUGUGGAGUCAUUCCUCCGCCCAUGUUGUCUUCGUCGUGGCCUCCUGCAGACGUAGCUCCCUCACUGAAGAGACCAGAGAAACCAGAUUUACUCUCCUUCUUGUCCUCGCCGUCGUCUCUGUCAAAGAUCUUUGAGAAGAAGCCGUCCUUCUUGUUGUCUUUGUCCUUCUCGCUCUUCUUCUUCUUCUUCUUGUCGUUGUUGUCAUUGUCUCUAUUAAAGAUCUUUGAGAACAUCCCUCCUUCGUUUUUGUCCUUGUCCUUGUCCUCCUUGCCGAGAGCCUUCUUCACUGCAUCCUCUACCAUGUCUCCUGCAAGACAAAUGACACCACAGUCAGACCACAUGGAAACCAGGAGUUAGAUCCAUCCUUGGUGGAGCACCAGAGGGGUGGGGUUGACCUCAGAGGAUGAGACAACUUGAAGCUCCAAUUAGGUGAUUAAAGUCAAACGAGAUUGUUUCUUAUCGUUACUUUCUCUGACAGAUGGAUGAUCUACAACCUGCUCAAUGGUCUGUUUGACGCUACAUGGACCAUCACGUACUAGAUGUACUGAGUCAUUGUCUCAUGGACUUCUACAGGACCAGAUGAGUCGCCCCCUGGUGGUCACUACAGAGAAUGCACCUUUAACACUGACUUUAGGAAGUUGCUGUUCAGUCCAGAACGUAACGUCUUCAGAGCUGUGAUGUCAUUGAUGAGCAGCUUGUGUGACUGAAGGAACUCGCGCUCCAAACAGAAGCUUUUUGAAGCAGCUGUUUUAACCUCGACAUCCAGAGAGCCCCAAAGCAUUUAUCUCGUUUGCAUCAGCAGCAAACAAUCACACAAAGAAGCAACGUGUUGAUUUGAACCUGAUUUAUUCUCAUUAAACGAAUGAAAAUAGGGGUUCUCAUCAAACACUGUAAAUCAGUAACAUCACCUCCAUUUCUGAGGAGCUUCGGUUAUUGAUGAACUGUGUAACAAGACGAGUUUUCUUUGACGGGACGUCUGUCAUAAAAGGACAACAUCUUUGAGGUCUUCCACUAAAAGUCCCUCUCGUAAGACUCUGAUACUCUGCUGCAGAAAGCUGACAGCACGCCAUGCCAAUCACGCCAUGCAACACUUCUGACCCGCCUCCCCGGCUCUACUCACCCAUUUUUUCUGCAAUCCAUGAAGAGGCCAUCUCUGUCUCUCUGUCUCUGUCUGUCUCUCUGUGUGUCUCUCUGUCUCUGUCUGUCUCUCUGUCUCUCUGUCUCUGUCUGUCUCUCUGUCUCUGUCUGUCUCUCUGUGUGUCUCUCUGUCUCUGUCUGUCUCUCUGUCUCUCUGUCUCUCUGUCACUCUGUCUCUCUCUCUCUCUGUCUGUAACUCUGUGUCUCUCUGUCUGUCUCUGUCUCUGUCUGUCUCUCAGUGUCGUUCUGUCGUCCUCAUUGGGUCCAUUUGCAGGUGUGACUGAAGCUUUGUCUCUUUAGGCCGACGCCCUCUCUCCGGUGUCCCUCCUCUUCUCGUCGCCGCGGGUUACGGGUCGUCGGACGGGACCGACUGGUUCCUUCACCUGAAUGAAGCGUUCCGUGUCUUCAGGGGGAAUGAAGCCGCUGUGGAGAGAAACAAAGUACAUUUACACACUUUAGUAUUUCUGAGAGAAAUGUACUUUUCACGUCAUUGAUUCAUUAGCUCCUUUACAGAUUAAGUUUCUCUUUGAAUGUAAAGAACUAUUUGACUUUUGCUGAAGUAAAGUUUUGAGUGCCGGUAUUUUAGUGGUAAUUAGGAGUAUUUCUACCUGCAGUUGGUAGUACUUCAGAGUACAGCCGACUGUUUGUGUUUCAGGGAGACAACGAAAACACGAGUCAUCUGAGCUGGAAUGUAAGUACAUUUACUACUGCGAGUGUCUUUAUACUUUGUACUCCACUGUAUUUAUCCGUCAGAUACCUGAACCCUCCUUUACAAACAGAAAACAUGACACGAUUAGAACAACGUCACAACUAUUGGAAACAAUAAGUGACGCAGAAACUUACGCGCCCAUCUGUGAUCUACAUCAGACCCUUUAUUAAUCAUCCCCUGCUCCCAGAAUGCACCUGUAAAACACCUGUACCAAUCAGAGCAGGGCUUGGGUGCUGUGCUUAUAUUCCACACCUGAUCAAGUCUUAACCUGGAUGUAAAGUUUCAAGCUGGUGAAGGCAAUAUUAGCCAAUUAAUUUAUCUAUAUAUUCAUCAAAAAUACCAGAAUGCAUAAUCAAAGGCCUCCUUUUUAAACUGCCUGGAUGAAUCACCCAAUCGGAGCGAGCGAGCAGGCAGCCAAUCACAGCGAAGACGUUUGAGGAAAAAGGAGAAACGAAGAACUCAUCAGCCUAAAGUGAGCCAAUGCUUCAGAACUCAUACAUAUAUUUAUAUUAUGGGUAGAUGAAAUCAAGCGUUCUGAUUGGUUGAGAGUGAGUCAGAACUCAUCAGCAUCAGCAUCAGCUAAGCACCCUGACCACAGGUCACGUGGAGGGAGGACCAAACGAGGAACAUCAGGCGGCCCGAUGGAGAAGUCGAGCCUGUGGAAAGAGCCCAAGUAGCAGAGCAGGGUUCCCGUUCCAUGAACCACGCCGGACUGGCAAAGUUCCCGGGGAGAAACAUUGGCCAGAUCCGGUACAUAAUCCGGGGAAGCCUGCAGGAGACUCGUCUGUCUCUGGGCGGAGGAGCCGGCCUGCAGCCCAUGUCCUAAAUAUGGCCUCCUGGUCGUAGAUGAUAGCGACUAAAUUGCAGCCGAUGUCCAACCGCACUUUGGACGGCGAGGGAAGGAGGGGAACCGCCAGCUAACCACGUGGUGGUGUGAUCAACAGAGGUGUGCUAGCAUGGCAUUCAACGCGGAGACAACUAAUCAUGAAGAUUCAGGACCAGCCCUGGACCAACAGGUCCAGUCGCCGUGGCUCCAUGUAUUCACCUGCAGUUUACCUGGACCCAAAGAACCAAUGACCUUUGGUCUUGGCCUCAGUAAUCUUUACGCGCUUUAGUCAGCAAGUCCUUAAUUAAUUAAACCGUCUGUCUCUGUCGCAGGUCCAGAACGGAGCCAACGGGCGUCAUUAUCUCGACACAAUGUGACAUGCUGUGUCCUCUACGCUGAUCCCUGCGAUGUGAAGCAACGUGAGUGGACAUGAAUAUGAAAGCUCCCUUCAAAGCCACUGGGCGCCAAAUCUAAAGGACAGGAUUAAUAUCCUGGCUGGUGAAGACACUUCCAACACCGAGGCACCGGUAAACACAGUCAUUUUUGUUAUUUUAAUGGAAACUUUUAUAAAACGAGCAAUGUGAAUGAAUGAGAGGUCGAUCAAGGAGACCUGGGACGUUUUCCGACGACGGACAAAUCAACGUCCAUCUGAUCAUCAACAAACGUUUAGUUUUAGGCAACAAUGCUGUUUGUCUGUUGCAUCGGAACUAUCGUCUAUUCUUGUUCACUAUUGACUAUUUUCUUCAGGCUUCUGAAAAGCGAUACACAACAUUUGGUGGAUACAACUGUUUUCUGCUAUUUCUCUACUAUUUGUAAUGUCUCUGUUUCCUUCUUCCGCUCUGUUUCCUGACGGUUUAAUAGGAUCCGUGACCCACAGGGCCGCUCGUCUCCGGGUGACUGAGAUCUCUUCAUUUCACGCAGCGACACACCAGUAAAGUUCAGGUCAACGUUGGUAAAACACAGUAAAGAAAACACAAACGUCUCCGUCGGCUCUGCAGCUCGUACAAAACAUGUAGUCCAAAAGUUUUAUUGUGCUUUAAAUGUUCAAAUCAUUGGUAAAUAUGUAGAGUGAUUCUCGACGGUCUGCAGCUGGUCCGGGUCUCUACUUAAAGAAGCCGCCGAGGGCCCCCAUCACUGCGUUGGCCCCUGAGGAACAAAGCCAAUGUUAAGAAAAGUUAAGACUGAAGCCUGGAAACAUCUACGAUGUGAUGAUGACGAUGAACCAACAAAAAUAUGAAUAUAUACAUAUGCAGAUAUAGAAAUGUGUAUUUAAUUAUAUAAACGUAUAAACAUCAUUAAAUAAAUGUACCAGUCAAAAGUUUGGACACUUGAAUUGAAUGAGAAAUUGUGUCAUAUAUACAUGUACAUUACAUAAAUACUCACUAUGUCGUUCAUCUUUUAAUAGUUUAUUAUUUCAGGGGGAAAAUACACAUAAUUAUGUCCAGAUAAGUAGGACGUGAUGUUUCGGUGCCUCAUCCCGGAUCGCUCUGGAGGACUCACCUCCCCCCUUGCUCUUGUCUUCCUUCCCCUUGCUCUUGUCUUCCUUCUUAUUGCCCCCGCUGACCAUCGAGAGGGCGUCAUCGAGGCCAAAGCCGUCUCCGCCUCCGCCGCCUCCGCCUCCGCCGCCGCCGCCUCCGACCAACGACAUCACCUGGUCCACCGGUCCUUUCUUCUCCUCCUCCUGCCCUUCCUUCUUACCCAUGACUUUGCUCAUGGUGUCCUCCACAAGCUCCUCUGAGGACACAAGAAGCGGUUCAGUUCUCCUGUAGAUACACGAUGUCUGCAGGUUUGGUUUCACCGCCUGAAGCCGAUGGGUGCGGAUCACCAAAUAUUUGAGGGUGAUUAAAGCAGUAAUUCAGCCUCCUGAGUCGGCUGACAUCACACAAAGUGACUAGCAGGACACAAGGGAACUUCUUCCACCACGUCAAACCUCACGCAGCCAAACACAGACACUGGAAUCAUCAUUCUAAUUAUUAUAAUCCAUCCAUAUAUCUAUCGAUCCAUCUAUUGAUCCAUAUAUCUAUCGAUCCAUCUAUCGAUCCAUCUAUCGAUCCAUCUAUCGAUCCAUAUAUCUAUCGAUCCAUCCAUCCAUCUAUCGGAACGUAUAAUUGCUCCUCAUAAUAAUCCAAGUAUUCUGUACAUUGGGUUUUAGCUCCUCUUCCCGUGAAACAUUCAGCCUGAAUAUUUAUUCAUUUAUUCUAAAUAUGUAAUAUAUAAAUAUGUCUAAAUAUUACGGCGUCUUUGGGGAAUUCAGAUGUAAAAACAAAUAAUGAGGAAGCGAGACACUCACCCACUUUCUGACCGGCCAUCUUGGAGAUCAUUCUGUCCAUGGCUGCUGCUGAUAGUCACUGCUGCCUCCACUGUGUGUUUACUGUAUAUAAGCAUGGAGGUGGGCGGGGCUGAAGGCAUUGGGCGGGGCUUCUGGAGGCCGGCUUACCUGCGGGUAGCCCCGCCCUCUGUGGACUCGCCCUGUUGAAGAAUCAGGUGUGAAUGCAGGGUGGACAGGUCUCACGGGUCGGAGAGGAUUUAUACCUUUACGUGCGUGUGCGUGUGUGUGUGCGCGUGUGCGUGUGUGCGUGUGUGCGUGUGUGUGUGUGUGUGUUACCUCCCUAAAGAAGAAUUUAAAGGUGUGUGUUACCUCACCUGUAUUCAUGUUCACAUAAAGACGGUGAGACACAGAGUGAGAUCCAACCUGUCUUCACCUCGUACUAAAUGUCUCCUCUUCAUCGUUCCGAACACGUUGAUCAUUGAGUCUCUGAUGGACGUGAGACCUUCACGGGCCGCCGGCUCUCCUUCAGCGAGACACGGGCUCGUCGCAGGAGAAAACCCGCUGUGAGGAGGCGUGUCUGAAAGAGUGACAUCACACUCAAGCGUGAAUCCAGAUGUACUACAGAAAGUACCUGUUGGCUAAUAUAUAAAAUAUACUUGUAUAUUAUAUAUAGUACAAAAACAUAUAUGCAAAUACAAAUAUAAUCGGUUUUAUUCUGUGGUUUUCUCUAUUCAUAUACUGUAUACAUAUAUGUAUAUAUAUAUAUGUGAUAUAUACGAUAUGUGCUAUAUUCAUAUAUACAUAUAUGUAUAUAUAUAUGUGAUAUAUACGAUAUGUGAUAUAUACAUGUAUACAUAUAUGUGUAUAUCACUAUGAAUUUGCAUAAUCCCGAGGAGAUGAUCUGGAUUCUGUGCGUCUUCUGUCUCCACAAACAUGCUGUGGACUGAGGACAUAAACCGCGGUGGCCAUUUUGAAAACAGUUUAAUCUCGUGUCAGUUUUUGUCAUCAUUAUUUGAUUCAAUUCAUUUUAUUUUUUAUAGCACUAAAUGCCUCAGUCCAGAAACUGGCACCUCGGACAGGAAAAACUCCCCAAACAAAGACACAGCAUUGGAUGGGGAGACAGAGGACGAUCGUCCCCGUGACGGACACGCCGUGACGGACACGCCGUGACGGACACGCUGUGAUGGACGUGCAGAGUGAACAACGUGAACAAUACGCUCAAUUCACCCGACACAGAUGAUUCGGGUCGUCGUGGCACAGGAGGAGAGAGGGAGCGCAGGGAAGCACAGGGUUGUGGGUUUGUGUCCCUGAGCAAGGCACCCAACCCCUAACUGCUCCCCGGGCGAAACUGUAAGAGCCACAGGUUAAUAAUGCAACGCAAGUCGCUUUGGAUAAAAGCGUCGGCUAAAGGACCUGUGAUGUGAUUCAAAUACACAAAUGAUCUCAUCAUGCGCGUUCAUCAUCGUCUCCUGCUCGUCUUCUUUAGAGUUUAUUUGUGCUGUUAAAAAAUCCUGGAUUUGACCGUCUUCUGACAUAAGACACGUACGCGCGAUUAUCGAGACAUCUGGUUCAAAUUAAGCAGACGGUUUGAGCUCCGAUCAGCCGCUGAGCAACCGAGAUGCUGCAUUAUGGGACAUUUAAUCGACUUAUAUUUAGCACGAGGAAUGGGGCCCAGGUGAGUGACAGCACAGGUGUGUUGUGUGUUUGAUAGGCCACGCCCCCCGAGGGCGGGUCCGUGUCCGAGCUCACGUGACGCUUGCAAACAAACUCGUUGGACUGAGAUAAUAAACAUUGUAUCCUUCAAAAGAGAUUCGUGUGGACGUGACUCAGAGGAACCUCCCUUCAGCCCAACGUGAGUCAUGACAACAACAACAACAAUGGUCCAAAACAGGUUGGUUUCCUCUUCUCAGAACCAAUCACACGCUCACACGUCAGACAGACACGCAGGGCGCCGGAGGAGACGUCACGUGAUCUCAUCGGUAUGUGCUGCGUGUAUAUUUAUAUGUGCUCAGUAAAAGAUCCUUCUUACUAAAGACAAAGUAUAGCAGCAACAUGUGGAAAAGGUCAUGAUGUCCUUAUUAUAAUAUUAUAAUAUUAUCAAUACACUACAAUUAAGGUAAAUGUAAUUAAUAUGAUGCUCUGAUGUACUAUAAUGCAGCACACAUGUACACAAUGAAAAAUAUUUUCACUUUUCUUACAAGGCAAGAAAUCAAUUGAUCAUUGGACCAAAAUGUAUCUUCAGAUUAAUUCAUCAUUGUAUAUAUAUAUAUAUAUAUAUAUAUAUAUAUAUAUAUAUAUAUAUAUAUAUAUAUAUUAUCAAAGCAUCCAGCUACAAUACUGCUUUUACAUUGAGUCAUAAUUACACUACUUGUCAUUUAGCUUUAGCAUCUUUAUCCAAAGUGACUUCCAAUGAUACAUCACAUUACAUUACAGGUCAUUUAGCAGACGCGUUUAUCCAAAGCACAUAUAUAAUAUAUAUCUAAUAUAAUAUAUAACCCUGCUAAGCCCACACAGUGGGAGCAGUGUGCUGGUUGGGGUUGGUUGUCUUGCUCAAGGACACCGCCACAUGGAACUGCAGGGUUCAAACCGCCAACCCUGCGGUUGCCGGCGCACCUUCUCUACUACACGUGCCACCAUCGCCCAUCUAGUGGUACAUAUUAGUAGUAGUACUAGUAGUACUAGCAGCACAUCGGCACAGGAAAACUCCCCAAACAAUGAGAACCUUCCAAGAGGGAAACAAGGAAGAAACCUCAGUGAGGACGUCAGAGGACGAUCCGUCUCCUGAUGGACUACAGUGAUGUCAUGUGGACAGAAUGAACUAUAUAUUAUUUGUAGUAUGGUAGUAGUAGUAGUAUAUAUUAGUAGUAGCACAUAUCAUGAUUUAGUUCAGUGCUCCACCUGCUGGAGGAGGUUCAUCUAUACAGUGCAUCCAGGAAGUCAUCACAGCGCUCCACCACAUUGUUAUGUUACAGCCUUAUUCCAAAAUGGAUUAAAUUCAUUAUGUUCCUCAUCAUUCUACACACAACAACCCAUAAUGACAAAGUGAAAACUGUUUUUUGCAAAUUUUUGCAAAUCUGUUAAAAAUAAAGAAGGAAAACAUAACAUGUACAUAAGUAUUCACAGCCUUUGCCGUGACUCAGCAUGUAGCUCAGGUGCCUCCUGUUUCCACUGAUCAUCCUUCAGAUGUUUCCACAACUUGAUUGGAGUCCACCUGUGCUAAAUUCAGUUGAUUUCAGUAAGGUAUCACAGCUGACAGUGCAUAUCAGAGCAUAAACCAAGCCAUGAAGACCAAGGAAUUAUCUGUAGACCUCAGAGACAGAACUGUAUCGAGGCUCAGAUCUGGCGACGGGUACAGAAAGAUUUCUGCAGCAUUGAAAGUCCCAAUGAGCACAGUGGCCUCCAUCAUCCAGAAAUGGAAGAAGUUUGGAACCACCAGGACUCUUGCUAGAGUCGGCCGCCCAGCCAGACUGAGCGAUCGGGGGAGAAGGGCCUUAGUCAGGGAGGUGACCAGGAACCCGAUGGUCACUCUGACAGAUCUCCAGUUCUAUGAAGAGAGGAGAACCUUCCAGAAGGACAACCAUCUCUGCAGCACUCCACACAUCAGGCCUGUUUGGUAGAGAGGCCAGACGGAAGCCACUGCUCAGUAAGAAGCACAUGACAGCCCGCCUGAAGGACUCAGACCAUGAGAAACAAGUCUCUGGUCUGAUGAAACAAAGAUUGAACUCUUUGGCCUGAAUGCCAAGCGUCAUGUCUGGAGGAAACUAGGCGCUGCUCAUCAUCUCGCCAAUACCAUCCCUACAGUGAAGCAUGGUGGUGGCAGCAUCAUGUGGGGAUGUUUUUCAGCGGGAGGAACUGGGAGACUCGUCAGGAUGGAGGGAAAGAUGAAUGCAGCAAUGUAGAGCGACAUCCUGUAACACAGCAGACUGGGGCAUUAACACAUCCUGGAUGAAAACAUGCUCCAAAGCGCUCUGGACCUCAGACUGGGGCGACGGUUCAUCUUCCAACAGGACAACGACCCGAAGCACGCAGCCCAGAUAACAAAGGAGUGACUUCGGCACAACUCUGCGAAUGUCCUUGAGUGGCCCAGCCAGAGCCCUGACCUGAACCCCAUUGAACAUCUCUGGAGAGAUCUGAAAAUGGCUGCACCGACGCUCCCCAUCCAACCU